rnacentral:lncRNA from 1 species
AGCAGUUCUCUUGCCUCAGCCUCCCAAGUAACUGGUACUACAGUUUGUCCUCGGCUGUUACAGAGAAUUGAUACAAAAAAUGAUCAUGUGAAGAAUUUGCAUCUUCUGCAGAACUACCGGUAUCAGUCAGCAGUAGGAGAUUGUAUAAAUUCAGCCUGAGAUUCCAGAAUAUUCUGUGUAUUGACCACCACAGCAAGAAGAAAAAGUCCAUGUAGGACUGAAAUGUGCUGGCACCAAGAAAAUGCAUACACCCUGUGGGCAGCUCACUUUGAAGAGAGAGAGGAGAAGAAAGGGCUGGGCUGCCCCUACUCAAGCUCUUCUUCCAAAAGCAGUACUCAGAUGGGUCACUCCAUAAUUCCCAGGGUCCAGUCAGGGAGCGGUGGGGAGAGGCUGGAGUGGCCUACUAAGGGAGAGCCCUGUUAACAGAGCCUCCUACACAAGGAAGAAUCACUAGGAGAGGGGAAGGAACGUGCGAGGCCCCUGCCAACUCCUCUUCCAUACUCGUUCGUUUGCGCAUUCAACACACUUUUGAGCACCUUCUUUUCCUCUGUGCUCUGUGACAGGAAUUCAAACAUGAAACUAGAUGUGGCCUUGGCUUUCAGAGAAGUCAUUCCCUUAGUAGUGAAUACUAGUUCCCUGAAGUUUAACAUUGGAGGAGAAGGAGUUAUUAAACACCCAUUCUAAGCAAGAACAUCAGUAGCCUACAAAGGGCCUUUUUUCACACUUUGAGUCUGUUGAAGAAAACUCACAGUUGGUAUCACUUGCUUUAAAAGUGCCCCCCACUCUGCCUUGUACGGUCCGGAUUGCUGUGAGGCCAUGACAAGGAACCAAGUUCUGUUUUUCUGUGAAGAGAAUGGAAUAAUCAUUUACCUCUUUCCUGUGGCUGCCAGCUGGUCCCUUCACUCAGUCACUCCCUGUUUCUCCUUCCUCCCUUUCCUCUCCCCUUCCAGUACACAGAAUCCCUUCUCCAUAUCCCCCCAUGAUGAAGGACCACCAGUCAUUGGCUCACCUCUCUUCCAAAAUUCCAAUGACUAGAGUCUUUCUCAGAGUAUGUAUAACUGAUGUCACAGACCCCUGAGUCUGGAAGAGUCUAAGUAAAAGUGGGUGUUGACCUGAAUGUAAGUUA